rnacentral:rRNA from 1 species
AUUGAACGCUGGCGGCAUGCCUUACACAUGCAAGUCGAACGGCAGCACGGGAGCAAUCCUGGUGGCGAGUGGCGAACGGGUGAGUAAUAUAUCGGAACGUGCCCAGUCGUGGGGGAUAACGUAGCGAAAGCUACGCUAAUACCGCAUACGAUCUAUGGAUGAAAGCGGGGGAUCGCAAGACCUCGCGCGAUUGGAGCGGCCGAUAUCGGAUUAGGUAGUUGGUGGGGUAAAGGCUCACCAAGCCGACGAUCUGUAGCUGGUCUGAGAGGACGACCAGCCACACUGGGACUGAGACACGGCCCAGACUCCUACGGGAGGCAGCAGUGGGGAAUUUUGGACAAUGGGCGAAAGCCUGAUCCAGCCAUGCCGCGUGCAGGAUGAAGGCCUUCGGGUUGUAAACUGCUUUUGUACGGAACGAAAAGGUUUGGCCUAAUAAGCUGAGCUCAUGACGGUACCGUAAGAAUAAGCACCGGCUAACUACGUGCCAGCAGCCGCAGUAA